UAAGAUUUCACAAUGAACAUUCAUCUCUCCCAUUACCCACCCCAAUCGCUAUUCUUUCGCUGAAACUGCUAGAUCGUCUCCUCUUAUCGAUUCCCACUACUACGCCCCUAAUGAAUCGCAACUAAGUGACCGACGAACCACAAUUGCACCACCAGAUGAUCUGUCAUCGCCGCUCAUACCUUCUCACUCAACUCCUCUUCGCUUCACUUCAGCCCCAGAAGAUCGUAAUACUGACCUAAUUUCUGGUGACCCAAAGGAAGACCGAACAGAGGAGUGGUUCAAUCGCUAGUGAUUGAAGGGAAGACCUAGUUUCCUUAGAUGGAUAGAAGGGUUAAGAGCAAUUCAAUCGCAGUUUCAACCCACCUUCAACCCUAGGUUUAUACAUGUAAAAGUGAAUCUGUACUAGCUGCACACAUUCCAUUCUCCAACGCAAAGUAUACAUUCUACAAGGAAAUGGAAAUCCCGUGUACGUUUGAGGAAAUAAAAAAUACAUUGUUGAUUCUAAGGGAAAAGUAUCUUUUGGCCAUAAGAAAUUCAACCCUUUUGGACUCUUCGAAAGAAAAUGCAACAAACAAAUUGUUGAAGUUAUCUAAACAGUUUGAGUUCUGCUUAUAUGAGCUUGGCAUUUGGUUAGCAGCAAAGGCAGUAGAAGCCCAUUCAUGUGAACCAAUGAUCUUUACACUUGGUGGACGCCUGAUGUUCGUGGUGAGGCGAUUGCUAGAGAUUUCUGUAAAGACGUCCACAACACUCACUCAUCUUACAUACCUCCUGGCUGGUUGGUUCAUCAUAUAAAUAAAGAAAGUGUGCUGAGCCAUGGCUUCCUUACAACAAAAGUUGUGUGUUUAAUUGAAUCACUUGCUGAAUAUAGGCAUGUCAAUGACAUGAGAUGCAUAAUCUUUGUUGAGAGGGUGAUUUCAGCAAUUGUACUCAAAACCUUGUUGUGUGAGCUAUACAGCUGGCAAUCACUCUGUGAUGCAGUCACAGAGCCGUGGUGCUCAAACUAAGAUCGUUGAUGAGUUUCGCAAAGGCACUUUCUAAUGGCAAACAAAUGCAAGAAAAAUCAAAGUGUACAAAGUGAAGUCAACAAGUAUGGGAAAGUAUACUAUUUAUACUUCAACAGAACAAAAAGGAUACCACUUGAAUACCAGAUCUGGGAUUAAAAAGGAUUGCAAAUAUAUUCUAGACAAUUUAUUUAUGACUGAUAUUUUCUAUUUAGAGUUUUCUAUUAGCUAAGUCGUUUAUAUUAAAGUGUAUCCAGAAUCGUUGUUCACGUGUUAAGGAAAUGUGCAUGUCUCAAAAAAGCAUGCACACAGCCGACCCAAAAAAUUUUGCUAGAAUUCGCGAAGAAGUGAAGAGAUGAGAAAUGAUGACUCAAACAAGGAAUUACAUAGUUAAACCAAAAUGUUUGAAGGUGCUCCUACAAGGACCAAGGGGUGAGCAUACGAUGACACUGCGAUUUGAACAAUUGAAGAACUUCAAACCUCCAGGAGAUGGAAGUGUAUUGGUUGAUGAUUUUACAGACCGCUACCUUUGAUUUAUGACGGAUGUGUAUCUAAAAUAAUGAUGAAAAAAUGGAUGGUGGCGUGGAAUCAUACAUAAUUUCGGGUGGGGUUAUGGAAUCAUUCAACGCAAGUCUUGAAGUUGAAAGAACACAACAAUGUGAAAAGAAGUUGAAAGGGCCAUCACAUGAAAAAAAAAAAAAACCUAAGCUAGAAGCUAUGAGAAAGAUUAUGACAAACAACAAGCUAACUUUGAAGUUACGAUGCGAAGUAUUAUGGAAAAGCUACCUAAUGGAGUAUUAUAGGAUCUUAGAGAUGAUUAGGAGGUUUUCGUUACUUUUUAUCAUUGUACUUCACAACUUUAUUAUGAUUACAUUGUUCUUUUGAUUUUGGACACAUGUUAUAUUACGAUAUAAGAUUAUCUUAUAUAAUUAUGUUAUUAUUA